ACCCUCCAGAUUCCUUACCCAUCAGACCCACACACGGUCGGAGCGGUCAUUAAAGGGAGAAAAGGGUAGUUGAAACUGACAAACUAUUUUGUGACACACAAGCUAGUUUAAAAGAAAA
rnacentral:snoRNA from 1 species